rnacentral:rRNA from 1 species
UGCAGUCGAAGGCAGCACGGGGGCAACCCUGGUGGCGAGUGGCGAACGGGUGAGUAAUACAUCGGAACGUGUCCUGGAGUGGGGGAUAGCCCGGCGAAAGCCGGAUUAAUACCGCAUACGAUCUUGGGAUGAAAGCGGGGGACCGAAAGGCCUCGCGCUCAAGGGGCGGCCGAUGGCAGAUUAGCUAGUUGGUGGGGUAAAGGCCUACCAAGGCGACGAUCUGUAGCUGGUCUGAGAGGACGACCAGCCACACUGGGACUGAGACACGGCCCAGACUCCUACGGGAGGCAGCAGUGGGGAAUUUUGGACAAUGGGGGCAACCCUGAUCCAGCAAUGCCGCGUGUGUGAAGAAGGCCUUCGGGUUGUAAAGCACUUUUGUCCGGAAAGAAAACCUCCGUCCUAAUACGGUGGGGGGAUGACGGUACCGGAAGAAUAAGCACCGGCUAACUACGUGCCAGCAGCCGCGGUAAUACGUAGGGUGCAAGCGUUAAUCGGAAUUACUGGGCGUAAAGCGUGCGCAGGCGGUUCGCUAAGACCGAUGUGAAAUCCCCGGGCUUAACCUGGGAACUGCAUUGGUGACUGGCGGGCUAGAGUAUGGCAGAGGGGGGUAGAAUUCCACGUGUAGCAGUGAAAUGCGUAGAGAUGUGGAGGAAUACCGAUGGCGAAGGCAGCCCCCUGGGCCAAUACUGACGCUCAUGCACGAAAGCGUGGGGAGCAAACAGGAUUAGAUACCCUGGUAGUCCACGCCCUAAACGAUGUCAACUAGUUGUCGGGUCUUCAUUGACUUGGUAACGAAGCUAACGCGUGAAGUUGACCGCCUGGGGAGUACGGUCGCAAGAUUAAAACUCAAAGGAAUUGACGGGGACCCGCACAAGCGGUGGAUGAUGUGGAUUAAUUCGAUGCAACGCGAAAAACCUUACCUACCCUUGACAUGUACGGAACCUUGCUGAGAGGUGAGGGUGCCCGAAAGGGAGCCGUAACACAGGUGCUGCAUGGUUGUCGUCAGCUC